GAUGAACGCUGGCGGCGUGCCUAAUACAUGCAAGUCGAGCGAACGGACGAGAAGCUUGCUUCUCUGAUGUUAGCGGCGGACGGGUGAGUAACACGUGUAUAACCUACCUAUAAGACUGGGAUAACUUCGGGAAACCGGAGCUAAUACCGGAUGAUAUUUUGAACCGCAUGGUUCAAAAGUGAAAGACGGUCUUGCUGUCACUUAUAGAUGGAUCCGCGCUGCAUUAGCUAGUUGGUAAGGUAACGGCUUACCAAGGCAACGAUGCAUAGCCGACCUGAGAGGGUGAUCGGCCACACGAGAACUGAGACACGGUCCAGACUCCUACGGGACGGCGCAGUAGGGUACCUUACGCAAUGGGCGAAAGCCUGACGGAGCAACGCCGCGUGAGUGAUGAAGGUCUUCGGAUCGUAAAACUCUGUUAUUAGGGAAGAACAUAUGUGUAAGUAACUGUGCACAUCUUGACGGUACCUAAUCAGAAAGCCACGGCUAACUACGUG
rnacentral:rRNA from 1 species